UACGUAGGGCGCAAGCGUUAUCCGGAAUUAUUGGGCGUAAAGGGCUCGUAGGCGGUUCGUCACGUCGGGAGUGAAACUCGGGCUUAACCCGAGCCUGCUUCCGAUACGGGCAGACUAGAGUAUGGCAGGGAGACUGGAAUUCCUGGUGUAGCGGUGAAAUGCGCAGAUAUCAGGAGGAACACCGAUGGCGAAGGCAAUCCCUGGGUCUGCACUGACGCUCAUGCACGAAAGCGUGGGAGCAAACAGG
rnacentral:rRNA from 1 species